GCCUUCUUAGCUCAGUUGGUAGAGCAUCAGACUUUUAAUCUGAGGGUCGCGGGUUCGAGUCCCGCAGAGGGCU
rnacentral:tRNA from 1 species